AAUCCCGCCCCCCUCGUCUCCACUCGUCUGUUCAGCAGGUUCGUCCCCAACCACCCAUACGCCUCCAAUCCAAUCUACCACGCCGCCGCCGCACCCCCCCCCCCCCCCCGCCGGACGCCGCCGCGGACGCCCAUCCUCCUACCAAGCCGACGCCGACGCCCACCCCUCCUCUUCCACCACGCCCCCUAGCAACACAUCCACGGGCGGAUCCUCCCAGGCCACCCCGCAGCUUGCCCCAUUGCCACCGCCGUUGAUGCGCUUCCGAGCGGCGCGCACCAACCCAUCCCCCGCUCGACGCACUCCCUCCUACGGCCAGAUGCAUUUUGACUGAUUCCGCAGAACACGCCGCGCGACCCCGCGUGCCGUCGCCGCCGCCAUGUCAGAUGCGGCGGGCGCAUCAUUUGCCGCCGGGGAGAUUUUACCGGCUCAAUCGCUGGAGGCAACUUUACAGUCGAGGUCCUGAUUUCUUCGGCAGGGAGGCGACGAGGCGGAUGAUGACGAUGAGGUCACCAGCACCAUGAAUUGAGAGGCGAGGAGGCUGAUGAUGACGGCGAGGUCAACAACAAUAUGAAUCGAGCUCGUGCAACAUUAACAGUUGGGAUAACACUCAAGCUUUAGGCUUCCUGUGGAUCGCACAAAAGGCGAUCGUCUGAUUGUACUGCACGCAAUUCACGUGCAUACCAUUCUACCAUUUUACUGGAAUAAAAGGGGAACCUCGACGAGAACUCAUCGAGGUUUCGACCAAAA